rnacentral:misc_RNA from 1 species
GCGAGUAUGGCCCUCACGGGUCUAAUCCACCAUAAACACCUUUGUGAACCAGUCAGGGGGACUCGGCCGUGAAAGCCCAGGCGAUCAGCGGAAGGGCCCUCCUUUGCAAACCCGUUUAGAAGUCUUGAAAGUACUUUUGUAUAAUCUAGUA